rnacentral:rRNA from 1 species
CCUACGGGUGACAGCAGUGGGGGAUAUUGCACAAUGGGGGAAACCCUGAUGCAGCGACGCCGCGUGAGUGAAGAAGGAUUUCGGUAGGUAAAGCUGUAUCAGCAGGGAAGAAAAUGACAGUAACUGAACAAGAAGCCCCGGCUAACGCCGUGCCAGCAGCCGCGGUAACACGGAGGGGGCAAGCGUGAUCCGGAUGUACUGGGUGUAACGGGAGCGUAGACGGUUUUGUAAGGCUGGAGUGAAAGCCCGGGGCCCAACCCCGGGACUGCUUUGGAAACUGUGUAACUGGAGUACAGGAGGGGCAGGCGGAAUUCCUGGUGUAGCGGUGAAAUGCGUAGAUAUCAGGUGGAACCCCGGCGGCGAAGGCGGCCUGCUGGACUGAAACUGACGUUGAGGCUCGAAAGCGUGGGGAGCAAACAGGAUUAGAUACCCCAGUAGUC